GAACUAGGGAGUGGGAGAGGUAGUCGGUAUUCGGUAGGAAGGGGUAAAAUCCUUUGAUCUAUUGAGGACCACCUGUGGCGAAGGCGGUCUACCAGAACACGUUCGACGGUGAGGGAUGAAAGCUGGGGGAGCAAACCGGAUUAGAUACCCGGGUAGUCCCAGCCGUAAACGAUGCAGACUCGGUGAUGCGCUGGCUUGUGGCCAGUGCAGUGCCGCAGGGAAGCCGUUAAGUUUGCCGCCUGGGAAGUACGUACGCAAGUAUGAAACUUAAAGGAAUUGGCGGGGGAGCACCACAAGGGGUGAAGCCUGCGGUUCAAUUGGAGUCAACGCCAGAAAUCUUACCCGAAGAGACAGCAGAAUGAAGGUCAAGCUGGAGACUUUACCAGACAAGCUGAGAAGUGGUGCAUGGCCGUCGCCAGCUCGUGCCGUGAGA
rnacentral:rRNA from 1 species